rnacentral:rRNA from 1 species
UACGUAGGGUGCGAGCGUUGUCCGGAAUCAUUGGGCGUAAAGAGCGUGUAGGCGGCCCGGUAAGUCCGCUGUGAAAGUCGGGGGCUCAACCCUCGAAUGCCGGUGGAUACUGUCGGGCUAGAGUGCGGAAGAGGCGAGUGGAAUUCCUGGUGUAGCGGUGAAAUGCGCAGAUAUCAGGAGGAACACCGAUUGCGAAGGCAGCUCGCUGGAUCUCUACUGACGCUGAGGUGCGAAAGCGUGGGGAGCAAACAGG